rnacentral:rRNA from 1 species
GACGAACGCUGGCGGCGUGCUUAACACAUGCAAGUCGAACGGAAAGGCCCUGCUUGCAGGGUACUCGAGUGGCGAACGGGUGAGUAACACGUGGGUGAUCUGCCCUGCACUUCGGGAUAAGCCUGGGAAACUGGGUCUAAUACCGGAUAGGAGCCAUUUUUAGUGUGAUGGUUGGAAAGUUUUUUCGGUGUAGGAUGAGCUCGCGGCCUAUCAGCUUGUUGGUGGGGUAAUGGCCUACCAAGGCGGCGACGGGUAGCCGGCCUGGGAGGGUGGACGGCCACAUUGGGACUGAGAUAUGGCCCAGACUCCUACGGGAGGCAGCAGUGGGGAAUAUUGCACAAUGGGCGCAAGCCUGAUGCAGCGACGCCGCGUGGGGGAUGACGGCCUUCGGGUUGUAAACUCCUUUCGCUAGGGACGAAGCUUUUUGUGACGGUACCUAGAUAAGAAGCACCGGCUAACUACGUG